rnacentral:tRNA from 1 species
GCUUGUUUAGCUCAGUCGGUAGAGCAUGCGGCUGUUAACCGCAGUGUCGGGGGUUCAAGUCCCUCAACAAGCG